UACGGAGGGUGCGAGCGUUGUCCGGAAUCAUUGGGCGUAAAGGGCGCGUAGGUGGCCCGGCAAGCGUGCGGUGAAAGUCGGGGGCUCAACCCCCGAUCGGCCGUGCGAACUGCGGGGCUGGAGCACUGUAGAGGCAGGCGGAAUUCCGGGUGUAGCGGUGGAAUGCGUAGAGAUCCGGAAGAACACCGGUGGCGAAGGCGGUUAGCUGGGCAGUUGCUGACACUGAGGCGCGACAGCGUGGGGAGCAAACAGG
rnacentral:rRNA from 1 species